AGCACGGAAGUCUCCGCCCCCGGCCUGCUGGGCGGUGGCGACCCAGCGGCCCGCAAGGAUUUGAAACCGUUUGGCGGCGGCGACGGCGGCCGACCUGAAAGCUCGCGUGUAGGGGCGCCGGGUUCUCGUUUGCCAAGUCCUCACUCCCUCACCUCCCAGUUGGAGAUGUUGCUGACUUAUAUGUAAAUGGCCAAAUGGUCAGAUAUAAUGGAUUGGAGACCUAGGGAUUUCAGGAUUUUAAUCUCAGCUUUCUGCUUAAUUUCAUGAUUUGGGAUUGGAUAAUAGAAAUGGGAAGUGAAGAAGAAAAAUGGGAGAAGUUGGAUGCAGAAUUUGAUCACUUUGUGGUGGAUAUGAAACCCUUUGUCCUAAAAUUACCUCAUAGAUCAGAACGGCAGAGGUGUGCUCUUUGGAUUAGAAAAUUGUGUGAGCCUUCAGGCACAGGGACAGGACUGAUGGGCAGGAAGAAUCGGAACCUGUACGCAAAGCUGCUAUUGCAUAUGCUUAAGCAAGGAGUGCUUGAAGGCCCGUUCACACACCGCCCUGAACCAGGGACGCUGAAAACUUUACCUUCGUACAUGUCCAUCUAUUUUGAUGAACCAAAUCCAGCACAAGCAAAAGGUUCAAGCCCAGAGGGAUUACCAGACUGGGUAAUGGGUGAACUAGGGACAAGUGAACACAAAUUAAAUGAAUCAUGGAAACUUUCUUCUGGAGAUGAUAACGCUUUGGUACAGUUGCCAACUGAUAUCCACAGGGAAUGUGUGCAAAAUGGAAAUAGAUGGUGUCAGUUACAGAGCCCUGGGAUUGCAGCGUGUGUGGGGUGUGCAGAGAAUGAAGAGCUGGUGAAGGCUCGUGUGGAGGUUUCUGAAGGUAGGGAGCAGUACACUGGGAAGCUGCAAAUAAAAACGCAGUCCUUGAGUCCUGUUUACAAGGAAGAUGAUCAAAAUGUUACCUCAAAGAUUUGUGAAGUUCAUGUGAGAAAACCUCCUGUAUCUUUGGAUGACAGUGACAUUGAAGCUCGCCUUAAUAGUUGGAAUCUUGGGAUAGAAAAUCCUCGGUACCUGAGACAGACGCCUAUCCCUGUUUCUCUGAUGACCCCCAAAUUCAGCCUGAGAAAAUCCAGCAGUCUUCAUGAAGAUCCUUUUCUCUCUCGAAUGCACGAGAAAGAGUUGGACAUGAAAACAAAAAUGAUGGAAGCUAAAUUUCAUGAAGAAAAGCUUAAGCUGCAGCAGAAACAUGAUGCUGAUGUUCAGAAGAUUUUAGAAAGAAAGAAUAAUGAAAUAGAAGAAUUGAAAACUUUAUACAAAAAGAAGCAAAAUGAAACUGAGGAGACAAUUAGAAAGCUUGAAAAGAAAGUUCAGAUCCUUAUACGUGACUGUCAAGUUAUUAGAGAGACUAAAGAAAACCAGAUUGCAGAGCUAAAAAAGAUAUGUGAACAGAGUACAGAAUCUCUAAAAAAUGAUUGGGAAAAGAAGCUCCACAGUGCAGUAGCAGAAAUGGAAAAGGAAAAGUUUGAUCUUCAAAAGCAACACACUGAAAAUAUUCAAGAAUUGCUUGAGGACACAAAUGUGCGUCUGAAUAAAAUGGAGGGUGAAUACAUGGCACAAACACAGUCUACAAACCAAAUAGUCAAAGAACUGGAGGCCCGUGUCCAGCAGCUGACUGGAGAAGCAGAGAACAGUAAUUUACAGAGGCAGAAAUUAAUUCAAGAAAAGCAGGAACUUGAAAGAUGUUACCAGAUUACAUGUAGUGAAUUGCAAGAAGUGAAGGCAAGGCGCAACAUACUACAUAAAGAGAAAGAUCAUCUUGCAAAUGAGUAUGAGCAAAACAUGAAAUUAUUACAAACCAAAUACAAUGCUGAUAUAACAAUUCUGAAACAAGAACAUGCACUUUCAGCUUCUAAGGCAUCUGGUAUGAUUGAAGAAUUAGAACAGAACAUCUGUCAAUUAAAACAGCAGUUACAGGAUUCAGAACUUCAAAGAAAGCAGCAACUAAGGGAUCAAGAAAACAAAUUUGAAAUGGAAAAAAGUCAUUUAAAACGCACCUAUGAAAAAAAGGUUCAUGACUUACAGAGUGAACUUGAUAAAGAAAAAGAAGAUGCCCAAAAGAAAAUUCUCAAGUUCGAGGAAGUUAUGAAGGAAAAAGACGAGCAGCUGGCUCGUGUGACUGAAGUUCAAAGGUUGCAGGCCCAGCAGGCAGAUGCCGCUUUGGAGGAGUUUAAGCGGCAGGUGGAACUGAACUCAGAGAAAGUCUACGCUGAAAUGAAAGAGCAGAUGGAAAGAGUGGAAGCUGAUUUAACUAGAUCCAAGUCUCUUCGUGAGAAGCAAUCAAAGGAGUUUGUGUGGCAGUUGGAUGACGUCAAACAACGAUAUGAACAGCAGAUAGUAGAGCUGAAGCUGGAGCAUGAACAGGAGAAGACGCACCUAUUACAGCAGCAUAACGCAGAGAGGGGUAGCCUAGUCCGAGACCAUGAACGGGAAAUUGAAAACCUGGAAAAACAGCUUCGCGCUGCCAAUAUGGAGCACGAAAAUCAAAUUCAAGAGUUCAAGAAACGAGAUGCACAGGUUAUUGCUGACAUGGAGGCCCAAGUUCACAAGCUGAGAGAGGAGCUGAUUAAUGUGAACUCACAGCGCAAACAGCAGCUCAUAGAACUUGGACUUCUUCGUGAAGAGGAAAAGCAAAGGACUGCCAGGGACCACGAGACGGCCAUCAACAGAAUGAAGGCUGAGUCCGAGAAGAUGAAACUAGAGCUGAAAAAGACACACGCUGCUGAGACCGAGGUGACACUGGAGAAGGCCAACAGCAGGCUGAAGCAGAUCGAGAAGGAAUACACUCAGAAGCUGGCCAAAUCUUCACAGCUGGAUAAAUGAAGCCAUUUGGUUUCAAGAGCAUCAUAUCUAAGGACUGCAAGCCAGCUCAUCUGAGUAUCUUUACUGUGGUAGUAAACGGGAAGUCACGCGCAUUUUAUGAGUUACCAUGUAGUAGUAGAACAACAACACAAACAAAACAAUAAUUUUUAACCUUCGAAAGGCACUAACCAUAUUGAUUCACUCAGUCCUCAUUCACAGUAACUCUGGAACCAGGAAGGAUUUUUUGGCCUCAUUUUGUCAGUUGAGAAAAUGGGGGCUGAGAUCACGUUACACAAUUUGCUGAUUGACUAAGCCAGGAUCUACCCAGGAUCUGACUUCAAAGUGGAAGUUUUGAACCUUGAUACUACUGGCUUGGCCCAGUCCCUUAUAUUUAUCAUCAUCAUCAUCAUCAUUAUCAUCAUCAUCAUCAUCAUUACUACUACUUGAGGAGAGAAACAGAUAGAGAUCUUCCAUCCCCAGAUCACCCCGCAAAACAACCAGAGCUGUUGUCCCAGGCUGAAGCCAGGAGUGUGGAAUUCAAUCUAGGUCUCUUGUUGGUGGCUGAGGCUCACCCACUUGAGCCAUCACCUGCUGCCUGCCUCCUAGAGUGGACAUUAGCAGGAAGCUGGAGUCGGUAGUGAGCCAAGCACUCCACUGUGGAACGCAGGCAUCCUAAGUGGCACCUUAUGCUGCAACACAUGCCCGCCCCUCCCUUACGUUUUUAAUAUGGCCGAACUUUGGUGCUAGCUAUUGUGAAAUGUCUCCAAUUAUUUCUAAAAUGUGCAUGUUACAUAGUUCUUAUCCUAUUAGGAAAGCAGAAAGUCUUUGUCUAAGUGACGGAUCAUAGGGUUUGUAUAUGAGAUGGGGAUUAUGCCUUGAUUGCCAUCAUUCGAGCCCUUCCUUGAGGAAGGAACAUGGGGAAAUAUUAUUUUUAAUCCACUGAAAAGGAGUAUUAUAAUCAAAAGAAAUCAUAUUACUACAAAAACUAACUCUUAAACCAAAUCAUGAAAAGCCCCUAGCUGGCACAGGUUGCAUCCUGCUUGUUUAGCUGUCUGUUAAAUAAGGGGAGAGGGGGUAGGGGACCGACAGUGAGAUUUAAGAUUGCUAAUAAAAACGCUUAAAUAAUGAGAGUGUAAACAUGAGUAUUUAUCUAAAGGAAUAUAUGAAGAAGCCCGAUUAGGUGACACUAGAGUAAAUUAAAGGUGAAUUAGUGUGGAGGAAAGCCCAAACUUUGGAGCCCUGGAUUUGAAAACUGUGACCUUGAACAAGUUACUGGCCCUCUUUGGAAUUUCGUUUCUUCAUUUGUCAGGUGAGAGAGUGGCACUUGCCUCACAGGAUACAGCUUUAACUGUUGAGCAAAGCAGUGCUAAUAAUGCAUUUAGCAGGUGCCUCAUUACGCACCCAAGCUUUUCAUAAAGCCCCAACAUACAGUCCUAAAAUGGCAAUGGAGGAAGACAGGAGGGAGGGAAGAAUGAAAAAAGACUGGAAAAGGGUUUGCUGGGUGCUCAGGAAUUGAUAAAAUCUCCCUGAAGAAUUUGGAGAGGCCUGGGGUUGCUAACUAUUUUCUGAAGUAGAACCAGGAAGGAGGAAGGGAAGGAAGAAAAGCCAACCAGGAACAGCGAUCAUAUCCUGCAGCCAUUGUCCUACUGUGGAAGGGCAGUGUGACACAAACCAGAGAACAGGGGAGAGCCCCUCCCCCCCAAAGGCGGGCUCUACCCUGACACCGACAGCAUCUUGUCUGCCCAUCUCUGCAUACAGAUAGAUACAUGCACAUAACGUCUAUGUAUUUAUGUCUGUGACCUGGCAUUUGAGGAGCAGUGGUCUACAGUGCCAGUCAGUCCAGAGCCAUGGGUUGACUUUUUCUGUUUCCAAGUGACAGUUUGCUGCAAUCUCUAACUCCUGUCUCACCAAGCUGAUAAGAAUGUUGGAAGCAAAAUUGUUUAAUUUUGAUUAUCAAGUUUUUAAAAAUACCUCUAUCAAAUUAAAAAAAAUAAUAAAAUGCAUGCACAAACCCACUGGUAUCCAGGAAAGAUUCAAGCGAAAUUUGAAAAACAUUUUAAAUAUUGUCCUUCUUUAAGGGAAGCUCCUUAAUCUGUAAGACUUAAUCAAGCUUCUGGGACCUAGUGGACCUUGAACACCAAGCAUUGGUGCUUCCGAGGGCUGCGUCCCCUUCUCACAUCCUCAGUAUUCACCAUGAAGGUGUGUUUGCAUCGUGCCCCCAAAUAGCAUUUCCAUCAGAAUAACAUACUUGUUCCUUUUUGUCUGAGUCUUAUGUAUUAAUACUGCCUUUUCAAUUUAAAUGCAGUUUUUCCCACUGGUCAUUUCUCAAAGAAAGGCAUUGCCAGUCUGCAGAAAUAUCCACAGGUGGAAGUGUGGAGGCCAAGGCUGGAAUGCCAGCUGAGCCUACCCAUUGCCAAGGUGCUGGCUUCCCUGCUGCCCCGUGUGAGCCACCCAGUGUCCAGUGCAGACGAGUGCCUGGAUGUUUGCCUCGUGUCCCACCUGCUCCCCACUUCACGCCCUCUCCAGGGCACCACCCAGCAUGCGGAGGGAGUCCAGGAGCCGUCCUUGCACUUGUCUCAUGAGGAGCUUCGGAGUUCACCUAACCUUCCUAAACAUCGCUUAGCUUGCCUAUUGUGUUUUUUUAAGUUUUAUAAAAAUCUCAAACUGCAGGGUGGAAAUUUGGUGUAGCAGUUUAGACACUGUAGGAAUGCCUGGUUUCAAAUCCCAGAUCCGUUUCUAGUUCCAGCUUCCUGCUCAUGGCCAUGGUGUGAGGCAGCAGUGAUUUCUCAAGUACUCGGGUCCCUGACACCCACCUGGAAACUUGGAUUGAGUGUGGGGCUCCUGGCUUCAGGAUGGCCCAACUUUAGCUGUUGUGGGCAUUUGGCAGAGUGAACCAGUGAAUGGAAGAUUCUCUCUCUCUCUCUCUCUUUCUCCCUCUCUCCCCCCUCCCCCUCCCUCCCUCUCUCUCUGCCUGCCUUUCAAAUAGAUACAUAAAAAUUAUACAGACUCAAACUGCACUGCCAUAUGGAAAACAAUAGAAUGAGUUGAAGGUAAACUGUUAACUUCUAUUUAGAAUCCUGUUAAUUUUAAGACUUUAAGUAAGACCACUAGCAUGUAUGCAAUGCAUUAAUGGCUUAACAGUUAUGAUAACUACUAUAGCUUGCAUGGGUUAGAUUGCUGACAGCACCAGACCAAAAGAGCUUUCCUUUUGUUUCUCAAAGUGUUAAUUUAAUUUUAUUUUUUUAAAAGAUUUAUUUACUUUACUUGAAUGUCAGAGUUACAGAGAGAGAGAAGAGACAGAGACAGAGACAGAGAGAGGUCUCGCAUACUCCCCAGCUGGCUGCAAUGGCUGGAGCUGCGCUGAUCCGAAGCCAGGAGCUAGGAGCCAGGAGCUUCCUCUGGGUGCAGGGGCCCAAUGACUAGGGCCAUCUUCUGCUGCUUCCCAAAGCCAUAGCAGAGAGCCGAAUCAGAAGUAGAGCAGCCAGGUCUCGAACCAGCACCCAUAUGGGAUACCAGCACUGCAGGCGGCGGCUUUACCCGCUACACCACAGCGCCAGCCCUUCAAAGUGUUGAUUUUAAUAUCUGCAUGAAAUGAUGUGAUCCACUUCUUUCUCUGAAGCUAGUACAGGAUCAUAGCAGAGCUUCAGACCACCGUUUCCUCCCUGAAGGAGGAGAACAGCCGGCAGCAGCUUGCUGCAGAACGGCGGCUCCAGGACGCUGUACAAAAGUUUGAAGAUGAGAAGCAGCAGCUGAUUAGAGAUAAU